AUGAGGGUAAGUUUAACUCCUAAAAAGAAAGCUGGAUUUAGAUAUGAUCCGCUCCUUGUUGGUUGUUUCCAUCACAUGAUAAGGAAGACAUGUAAACCUUUGAGGGUAAAAAGGACAGAGGUCCUGCUUUAUUGCUUUAUAUAA
rnacentral:rRNA from 1 species